CCUACGGGUGGCUGCAGUGGGGAAUAUUGCGCAAUGGGCGAAAGCCUGACGCAGCGACGCCGCGUGAGGGAUGACGGCCUUCGGGUUGUAAACCUCUUUCAGCAGGGACGAAUUCAGACGGUACCUGCAGAAGAAGCACCGGCCAACUACGUGCCAGCAGCCGCGGUAAUACGUAGGGUGCAAGCGUUGUCCGGAAUUAUUGGGCGUAAAGAGCUCGUAGGCGGUCUGUCGCGUCGGCUGUGAAAACUUGGGGCUCAACCCCAAGCCUGCAGUCG
rnacentral:rRNA from 1 species